AUUAAGGAAGUUUAAAAAAUGUCACAUUGUGGUUGUGGAGAGGUAUUGUCACCCUUAAUAC
rnacentral:tRNA from 1 species